CAAAGAGCUGCUGCUGACUGAACUCCUGUGAUAUGCACACUACUCCUUUAAGUAUUUGAUCUCUCUGAUAAGUGCCGUGCAGUUUCAGUUUUGCUUCUAUUCGACUUUAACCUUUAGUUUCCGCGUGCCUUCUCACGCAUUCUUUUCUCAUCUGUAGUUCAUCAUUAGCCGUCCUCCCAACCGGACGCUGUUGGGUUUAGAUGAAGAAACACUGCACUCAAGAUCGCUGGGAGCAAAAGAAACAGCUGGAGAAAAGAGGUGGGAACUUGAAAGUAAAAUGCAAAUAAUCCAGAGGAGGAGGAAGAAUGGGAGGAGUGAGAAAGUGAAAACUGGAGGGUGAAGCAGGAUAAAGUGAUAGAAGAGAGGGAGUCCAUCCUUUCGCUCCGAUCUCUCCAGCCACGUGUAGACCAGCAGCUCCGGGUGACGCACCUUUUUCCCCUGAAGUGAACCAUCACCUGCCAAAACUCCAAACUCGUCCUUCUGGUUGUUCAUUCCUCUUUUCCUUGGAUAGCCAGGAGCCUUCCCCAGCAGCGAGGUUGGAAGUUUGACAAAACUUUCCUGAAAACUGGCCAAAGAAAGGAUUUUCUUCAUUCUACAACUGCUGUUGAGCUUUCAGCUGGAGUCCAGCAGAGGACAGACGCUGAAGACACUUUAAGCCAUCAGCGUCGUGUCGGAGGGUCGGGGAGUUGAAGCCUCCGGAGGGGUCUGCUUUCUCACAGCUGUGAUCGAUUUGUUGAAGAUGUUGUAGUGAGUUGUGGGGCAGCAGACAGCAGAGGAUAAUGUGACACAGAUGAUGGUUUUGCCGCCUGUGCCAUGCAGAGGGAGAGGCCAGCUCUCGUGAGUGUGUUUGUGUUUCUGUGUUCUGUCAACAUCAUGGCCAUCACCCAAAAACCAUGCAGCAGGGACCUUAUUAACAACGUCCUGACCCUGAAGGAGAAAGUCUCCAUCAUCUCCAACAAGUUGUCGCUGAACUGCAGCCUGUACACACCCACCAUUGAAGACUACGAGAUUUGUCCCAAGACCACGAUGCAAUGUUUUGCUUCUGAAAUUAUCGUCCUCACGCAUGAGUGCGAGCUCCCGUCAAUGGGGAAAAAAUUGAAUAAAAUGCUGAGUAAACUGGCGUUCAGGAUAAACCAGCAGACAGCGUCAAAGUGUCGUCGGUGUGAGGUCAUGAAGGAGAAAAAUGCAACCACCUUUCUUGAAAAUCUGCUAUGGACUGUUGAGAAAUCUAACAGUGACUACUGUUAGGACUUUCAGAAGAGACUGCAUGGCCUGACUUUCUUUUCAUUAACUUUCUAUUAAACCACCUGCACACAAAUAAAGUGCAGAAUGUAUGAUGUCGGAGCAGCUCAGUGGCAUUUGAGUUACAGUUAGAGGCUAACGCGGGGUUCUGGGUGGAAAAAGCUUGCUUGUAGUUUCAUAUCAACUCAUCAGCUAACAUAAAUGUCUCACUGAUGAAGUCAUAAAGAAGACACAGUCAGAUCCCAGCUAAGCUGCAGUCAGAUGCUGAGAGCACGUUGGUCACUUUAAUGUGUUUUAAGGAAAUAUGUGUGUAUUUUCGUCUGCUAUUAAUGAGUAUUAUUAUAUUAAUAAGGUUGCUAUCAAGCAGUUGGACAGUGGGUGAAAAGGGGGCAUUGGGUCAGUGUGUUUAUUGGCCUUGGUAAACUGAUGGAAGUACACCGAGGAUGGCAGGAGGAAAACAGACCUGUCUACGCAUUUCACAACCACAGACACCAUCACAGAAAUGUGCGACAGUUUCUGAGCACGUGGGACUUCCUGAGGAUCGCACAACUGGCUUAGUCGAAAGCCACUGCCAGAUUAUUCAUGCAUCAGACAUUACAAUGCAAUGGACAUCUGCAAGGACAUCACUGCUUACCGCCUACUGUGGCCAAAAUAUGCUCCUACACAGCUCUGAUGUAAACCUCAGAAACAUAUAAAGUUAUUUCUACUCUUCUAAUAAGCUCAUUCUCUCCCUACUUUGAUCUGAUGCUCCUGUAUUUAGUUCAGUACAAUAAACUUCAUUUUAAAGUAAGCUGAUGCACGCGUUUCACUCUUAUUUCUUGCACCUUCAGAAUAAAAUUAUCCCGUUCUGUCUUUUUGUACAGCUUGGC
ensembl:lncRNA